rnacentral:lncRNA from 1 species
AAAAAACCAAAAAAAUUCUCUUAAGUCUCUCUCCCUUCCUCCGACCAGAGCCCAGAAACCGACGAACAGGGCCGCCACGUCGCCGCCGCCGGCCACCGUACACCGUGGCCGGAAAAUUCAGAAAAAAGGUAAAAUUUUUUAUACUUUCCUCUUUAUAUAUAUUUUUUAAAUGUAAACUGUUUUUAUAGAAAAUAAAUAAUAACAAAAAGAUUAAAAAAAAGAAAAGAAAUGCAAAACGAAAAUCACCUUGAAACUUAAAAUUUUUUUUAUUGAUAUCUGUUUUUUUUGUUACAAAAACGGAAGAAGAGAACCCCCAAAAUCUCAUAGAAAAAUACAGAAAAAACGAGCCCCCCCUUUUUAAAGCAUUCUUGUUACUGCUUCUGUCUUGUUCAUUUCUCUCUUUGCGUGUUUCUAUUGUUUGCGUGUUUGCAGGUGGAGCAGGUGAGGACGAUGGGACGUGCGCGGCGCAAGUGGGGUGAGUCGGUGGUGGCAGUUGCGGCGGCAAUGUCAGAAGGCCCUAGGUGCGGCGCACCAAGGGUUAAGGUUUCUUUUUUCUAAUUUGUGUUUUGGGUAAUGGGUUUUGUAAUUGGGCUUGGGUAGGUUUUAAAUUUUUGGGCUUGUUAUUUGGUGAGGCCCGGGUAAAUUUGGG